GAAUUCGAAUCCUACGGGAGGCAGUAGUGGGGAUUCUUGCGCAAUGGGCGAAAGCCUGACGCAGCGACGCCGCGUGAGGGAUGACGGCCUUCGGGUUGUAAACCUCUUUCAGCUCCGACGAAGCGAGAGUGACGGUAGGAGCAGAAGAAGCACCGGCCAACUACGUGCCAGCAGCCGCGGUAAUACGUAGGGUCCGAGCGUUGUCCGGAGUUACUGGGCGUAAAGCGCGCGCAGGCGGCGGCGUGGGUCCGGCGUGAAAGCCCCCGGCUCAACCGGGGAGGGUCGUCGGGGACCGCGCCGCUUGAGGUCGGCAGGGGCCGGUGGAAUGCCCGGUGUAGUGGUGAAAUGCGUAGAGAUCGGGCGGAACACCCGUGGCGAAGGCGGCCGGCUGGGCCGAAUCUGACGCUGAGGCGCGAAGGCGUGGGGAGCGAACGGGAUUAGAUACCCCGGUAGUCCACGCGGUAAACGCUGCGGACAGGCGUGGGGGGAGUUGACCCCCUCCGUGCCGGAGCCAACGCGGGAAUCCGCCGCCGGGGAGAACGGCCGCAAUUUGAGGUGCGGAAUGCCA
rnacentral:rRNA from 1 species